rnacentral:tRNA from 7 species
GGGCCGUUAGCUCAAUGGUAGAGCAGCUGACUCUUAAUCAGUAGGUUCGGGGUUCGAGUCCCUGACGGCCCACCA